UUGUAUUGACAUUUAGGUUUAGUUCAGUUUGUCUAUCUUCCUCCCUCAAGUAGGAGGGAGGCGAAGACACACCCAACUUGCCAAUAAUAGAUCAAUGAGCCUGUCCUGACAAAGGCUUGGUAAAGAUGUUGGCAAUUUGGAGACGCGAAGGAAGAUAAGACAGAGAAAUAAUGCCGGCGAGAAACUGUUGUCGGACAAAAUGGCAAUCCAGCUCCAUGUGCUUAGUACGCUCAUGAAAUACUAGAUUCUUUGCAAUGUGAAUCGCCGCUUGGCUAUCAGAGUGAAGAGUCACUGGCAAAGAUGGCGUAAUAGACAAAUCUUCAAAUAAUCGAACCAACUAGGAAAUCGGUGAACCCCCAAAAUUGAUGUAGAAUCCACUGAUUGAAUGACGUGAUUCUGGGCAAGAACCCCAAUCGGAAUUGCAAAAGGCAACAAGAGGCAAAGAUGGAACGGAAUUCAUGAAAAUCCCCAAACUUGGGUCCACAAGAAGAUACCUCAAACAAUGAAAAGCUGCAUCCAAAUGAGGUUGUCGAGGAGCCUGCAUGUAUUGGCUCAGGUGCUGAACUGCGAAAGACAGAUCAUGAUGUGUAUGAAUUAGGAAAUUCAACUUUUCUAAGAGUCAGCGGAAGAAAAUAGGAUCUAAUAUCAGUUCUCAUUCAUCAGCCCUAAGCUUACGGGUGGGAUCAAUGGGCGAGGAAGUAGGCUUCAAAUCAAGACAUCCAAACUCAGUCAAUAUAAAGCGUUUCUGAGUCAAAAUUAAUCCCAGCGGAUCACGUAUAAUUUUCAUGCCUAAGAAAUAGUGAUUCUACAGCAGGUGACAUUGAUCAGUGAUAGCAGUACACUCCUUUCAGCUGAUUUGCCAUUAAAGCAGUUUCAAUAGGGUGCUGAGCAACCUAUAUUUUCCUUUGUUUCUCAUCCUGAAUCAGGAGUGAAUAAGCAUGGUUGAUGCUAGGCAAAGGAGAUGCCAUCAAAAUAUUUCUCUUUACACCUAAGUAGGUCUCAUUCAGUCCCAUAAGAAAUUGAAUGAGCCUGUCAUCUUGAUGAUAUUUGAGGAUCCUGCUCUUCCCUCCACAGAUGCAGCCACAAGUACAAUGAAUGCAUGUAUCAAGACUGUCCAACUCAUCCCAAAUUUUUUUCACCUUGGUAUAGUAACCUGCUAUGUCUGAACUGCCUAUGGACUAAAUCACUGAGUUCGUUUUGCAGAUGAUAGAGCAUAGCAUCAUUGCUUUGCCCAAAUCUAUCUUCUAACUCCUUCCAGAUAUCUCUAGCAGUUUUGGAGUAGUAGUACACUUUCAGCUAUUUAUUUCAAAAGAGAACUGAGCAACCAGGAAAUGACCAUGUCAUUAUAUCUAUUCCAGGCUCUAAAAUAUGGAGAAUAUCUGAGUGGUUCAAUGAUGGAUCCAUCGAUGAAUCCUAACUUAUUUUUGACUGCAAGUAUUUGGAAGACAGCCUUUCGUCAACCUCCAUAGCUUUUACCAUCAAAGAUAGAAUUGACAAGAAUCAUUCCAGGUAAAUCGGAGGGAUGAAGUUAAAAAGGGUGUGUUGAGUCGUUGUUGACAAUGGUUUGGGAUGCUUGAUUGAUUGAUGGAGAAUCACCUAUAGAGGAGAUGACUGGAUAUGUAAUCGUCAUUGGAGAGAAAGGCUAAAAAAGAACUUGAAGAAGAAAAACAGUGUGGAUCGAGUAAUUAAAUCUCUGAUACCAUAUUAAAAUUUAGAGAAGUUUUGUAUGAAAUUUUCUUCUUGUGUAUUUUAUCAGCAAACUGUACACCUAUAUAUACAAAUCUAAGAAUAAAAAUCUGUUUUGCACCUA